AAAUAUCUUCAGGGCGGGGCGGAAUUCCCCACCGGCGGUAUAGCCCGCGAGCCGUAAGGCAUGAUUCGGUGUAACUCCGAAGCCGACAGUAAAGUCUGGAUGGAAGAAGGUAUAA
rnacentral:ncRNA from 1 species